rnacentral:rRNA from 1 species
CAGUCGCCACGGGAAUACAGAGGGUGCGAGCGUUAAUCGGAUUUACUGGGCGUAAAGCGUGCGUAGGCGGCUUCUUAAGUCGGAUGUGAAAUCCCUGAGCUUAACUUAGGAAUUGCAUUCGAUACUGGGAAGCUAGAGUAUGGGAGAGGAUGGUAGAAUUCCAGGUGUAGCGGUGAAAUGCGUAGAGAUCUGGAGGAAUACCGAUGGCGAAGGCAGCCAUCUGGCCUAAUACUGACGCUGAGGUACUAAAGCAUGGGGAGCAAACAGGAUUAGAUACCCCCGUAGUCCCUGUCUCUUAUAC